ACGGGAGGCAGCAGUGGGGAAUAUUGCACAAUGGGGGAAACCCUGAUGCAGCGACGCCGCGUGAGUGAAGAAGUUAUUCGUAAUGUAAAGCUCUAUCAGCAGGGAAGAAAAUGACGGUACCUGACUAAGAAGCCCCGGCUAACUACGUGCCAGCAGCCGCGGUAAUACGUAGGGGGCAAGCGUUAUCCGGAUUUACUGGGUGUAAAGGGAGCGUAGACGGUUUGGCAAGUCUGAAGUGAAAUGCGGGGGCUCAACUCCUGAACUGCUUUGGAAACUGUCGAACUAGAGUGCAGGAGAGGUAAGUGGAAUUCCUAGUGUAGCGGUGAAAUGCGUAGAUAUCAGGAGGAACACCGGUGGCGAAGGCGGUUUACUGGACCACAACUGACGCUGAGACACGAAAGCGUGGGGAGCAAACAGGAUUAGAUACCCUGGUA
rnacentral:rRNA from 1 species